GACAGCCUCAACUUCUUAGGCCUGGUCUACACUGGGGGGGGAGGAGGUUGAACUAAGAAAAUGAAAGAUGUACUGGACUCCUACCACUUGGUUGUCAUCCAGCACAAAAAUACUGCUUUCGUGUGGUGGCCUUAUCUCUGCUCCUGUUAGCUGAACAGCCUAUUGGAAUUCAAUUACCUCCUUAUUUCUGGUUAUCACCUACCAGUCAGCCAGCAGGGAGUACGAAAGUUGGAAUGACCAGAACAUCAUUUAUCUUUGCUUAUUGAAUCCUCGAAAGGCUGUCUUUCCCUCCUCACUGAAGAGUUGACAACUUCUGCUUCUUGACGGAUGGGGUUUUCCCACAUGCUAACAUGUCUUUAGGUAGGAGCAGCAGUUAUGGAGGCAGAGAAGGAGAUGGAGCAAAGGAGCACACUGGAAGUCUAAAGUAACUUGUGCAGUUAUCUGCAGAAUAUGGAAAACUUACCAGGUUUGAAUGGAUACCCUGUGUUUUGCACAGUGGGCAGACCUCAUGCUGUCAAGAGCUGAAACAUGCUUGCUUCACACGCCUUUCAAGAAAGGAACAUUUACCCAAAUGCCCUCAAGGAACAUCUAAAUCUGUAAAAGAGUCGACACAGUUCUCUUUCCCUGACAAAGUAGGAUUGUUCCUUAUGUAACCCAUGAGAGGGUUUCGCUCUUUACAGAUGAUUCUUAAAUGUGUUCUAUGAACUUUAUGGAUAAUCCCUAAGCCUUUACUCUAAAGGGGGGGGGAAGUCUGCACGCAGAGCAGCCAUUUUGUUUAACUGAGUGCCAUAGAAAAGAUCAGAAAGGAAAAGAACUUCCCAUCAUAGUAUUCAGGGUGGGGGAGGAACCCAAAGAAAUGUAAAUUGUGUUAAAUUUGGUUGUUUCGCACUGGGUUUUUCUUUUUAAUAAAGAGGUGGAUGGAAAAGAACCACCAGCAAAGGGUGAAUCUUCUCCCUCUUACAUCCUUGGGGAACAGACGACAUGAAAAAGGGAAGAGAGUCACCCCAGGUAGACAGAUUAACCUUUUGCAGAGGCAUUUUUUAUAUAAAACACUUCCCCUUCCCUGAUUCUCAGGGCAGAACUUGUUAAUUUCAAAUGGAAAGUUACAAUCAUGCCUAUUGCUUUACUUGUUAGUGUAAAUUCAUGUACUGUUGUUCUUAACUUUUCUCUGAAACAGGUGAAGCCCACAACCUGGACAGGAAUCCUACUUCCUUCCAGCCUUAGCAUUAGAGAGGGACUGUAGCCCUGGUGGAGAGUAAAGAAGGGUUCAUGCUUCCAGCAAGGCUGUACAUUGCACCGAGCAGUCACAGUCCUAAUUUGUUGGCAAUAUAAAGAAUUCAAGGGAUAUCUACAAAACUGCAGCUUGGCUUUUCAACUGGCUCUGUGGGCUUUUAAAGCCCUUAGUGGAAAGGGAAGGGUCAAUAUUCAGAACCGGCUCGGAUGCUUGUCCUGAGUAUCCCAGUGUACAGGAAUUCCACCACAGCACUUUAGAUUGGUGAGUGCCUGUGGGAUUGCUUUAGCAUGUAGGAAGCCGCAUGCCCCAGGGUCUAUUCUACCUGGCAGUCAUUUUUCAACACCGUUCAGUCUCCAGCUUCCUUCCCAGUUGGGGGUGUAACAGAAAGCCAUAGUGGUCCUUCCUAAGGGUUCAAUCAACCACCCAUUACAAUCAACUGGACUUUUUCUAUUGACUGCAAUGAAGGUUGGAUUCAGCCAUAAAGGAACAAAGAGUGCUGCUGUACCCUGCCUACACACCAUAGGGUAUGUUUACAUCACACACUAAGCCUAGGCUCCAACUCAGGUUUGAUCCCAAGCCCCCUUUCGUCCACACACAAAAAUCAGUCUGAUUUGGGUCAGCAAGCAAUAAGGACUGGAGUCCUAGGAGCCUGUUCCAGGGGUGAGUCAGAGCCAGAGUCCCGCCGAGACACAGAUCCAAGCCAUGUCAGUAUGAAUGCAGCUCAAGUGGCAGACCUAAGUCAGUCGUUCUGCAUAGCGCAAUAUGGACAUGUUAGCAUGGCUGUGAGACCCAGAUCUAGCAAUUAUAAACCCAGGGCUACAAUGCAGCAAGGACGCUCACGCCUAGGCUUGGAAACACCGAGUCCAUAAGCCUAGGUCCACAGAAUGGGGUUUACCAUGCAGCACAGACACACCCUUAGAUGGCGGAUACUUUAUAAAUGCAUGUAUUACUAGCACUGUGGUUU